rnacentral:lncRNA from 10 species
GUGGUGCAUUAAGUUGAUCAGCUCCUAUUAAAUGUUAAACGCUGGAUGCGUUUUAGACAAACUCGAUUUGCUCAAGAUACUUUUCAAAGGUUCUGUGAUGAUAAUUAGACAUCUCUCUCCCUGCCUCGCCCCUUCCUCCGGCUUUCCUGGGACAUGUUUUGGCUCCGGCCUCUGACAGAUGGGAUGAGGGAACGUGUGGGCUGAUAGAGAGGGUCCUUUGGAGGGGGAACUGGAUGCGGGGAGAGCCCCCUUAGGCUGUUUAAAAGAGAUACAGUUUCUGAAAAGUUUAAUAAGGCAGAAAACAAUCCCGGAUGCCAAAUUUGCCUUCCAAAAGCUAACUAUUCGGAAUGCCUCCUGCCCCUACAUGGAGGAGAAAAUAGCGUUUCUCUAGCCAAAAAAGCUGUUUUCUAGAGAGGAGAAAUUCUGUUUCUGCACGGGGAUGGGUGCUGGAAGCUUAGUGACAAAAAUGCAGAAACAAAACCCAGUUCUAAUGCAAAUCGGUGAGAGGAGAAAGAAAAUCAGUGAGACGAGGAUCAGCAUGAAACAAUAAUCAAAGCUCAGGCUCAUUUCUUUUCUCACUUUUGUUUUUGUUUUGUUUUUGAGACAGUCUCACUCUGUCGCCCAGUCUGGAGUGCAAUGGUGUGAUCACGGUCACUGCAACCUCUGCCUCCCGGGUUCAAGCGAUUCUCCUGCCUCAGCCUCCCAAGUAGCUGGGAUUACAGCGGCUUGCAGUAAACUUCUUGGAGGAGAAUUGGCAUUGCAAGGGUGUUACUGGAGACCUCGGCAAGAAAGUGAAUGCAAAGACAGAUGACCCAGGAACCCGUGAUGGAUAAGGCUCUUGACAGCCAGGACGUGGAAUUACAGGGGGUCUCUUUGAGAGACAAAAUAAAAAAAAUAGCCCAGUAAUCUUCCUUCCACCCUUUUCUCCCAGAUCUAAUUACAGAUGUCUUGACAUUCCUUCUGCAUAGAAUUUCCUUAAAAGAUUUGCCAAGAAGAAACAUUUGGAAACUGUGUUUUAGGUAUAAUCCGUCUGGGAGUCACUCUUGCUCGCUUUGUCGUUAGAUGACAAAACGCUUAAUUACAGCGAGCACAAUGUAUACCACAUUUGGAAAACUGGAUUCUUGACCUAAAUAAUGUACCCCAUACUGACAAUGGCCUUUUGGCAAAACUUGUGUCUCUGAUCUCACAUUAAUUACUACACAAAUAUACUUAUUGUGGGCACCGAGUUUAUGGGAUGGAGUCCUCUUGACACAUGUUCACCAUAAAAACACAUUUUUUUCCCUUCCCCUGACCCUAAGGAAAAGAAAAAAAAAAAGAUUAACAUUUUUCAAGAUGCUGUUUUAGUGACAUGAAAACUGUCUGUUGAGUGUUCACUCGGCUUUUGUUCUUUUUCUUUUCUCCUUUUAUUAAAAAGCCUUUCAAACCAAGCAUUCCUGGUUUGUGAUUCUUUACUUUUGCUUUUAUGCUGAGGGAGAGACAGAUUAGAUUAGAUUAAAGACCAAGGGACACCUCGUGAAAUACAUUCCAUCUAGAGGCAAUUUGGUUGAGAGGGCCAAUUGUGUGUGUGUGUGCCUGUGUGCGUGCAGGCGUGCGUGUUUCUCCUUGUGGCAUACUGGUGGUCUUUUUACAGAUACAGAGUUCUGGUUUUUGGAAAUGCGUUUAUUCCUUUAGCCUUUUUCCCUUCAGAAGCCUGCAGCCUUUGAUUGUGGCCUGACUUUUAGGGGUCUGCGGCAUUUUGGGGGGUAGUAAAUCUUAUUAACUCUUCCCUUUAGUGUCUCGCCAUUCUCAAAAACUUUUACAAAAAGCAGCAACACCGCCCUCACCAAAGACAGAUGAAAGGAGCGGUUUCAAAG